AAUAGAUACCCUGGUAGUCCACGCCCUAAACGAUGCUCACUAGGUGUUGGGGAAGCGAUUCCUUGGUACCGUAGCUAACGCGUGAAGUGAGCCGCCUGGGGAGUACGGCCGCAAGGUUAAAACUCAAAGGAAUUGACGGGGACCCGCACAAGCGGUGGAUGAUGUGGAUUAAUUCGAUGCAACGCGAACAACCUUACCUACCCUUGACAUGUCCGGAAGCCUGCUGAAAGGUGGGUGUGCUCGAAAGAGAACCGGAACACAGGUGCUGCAUGGCUGUCGUCAGCUCGUGUCGUGAGAUGUUGGGUUAAGUCCCGCAACGAGCGCAACCCUUGUCCCUAGUUGCUACGCAAGGGCACUCUAGGGAGACUGCCGGUGACAAACCGGAGGAAGGUGGGGAUGACGUCAAGUCCUCAUGGCCCUUAUGGGUAGGGCUUCACACGUCAUACAAUGGACGGUACAGAGGGUUGCCAACCCGGCGAGGGGGGAGCCAAUCCCAGAAAGCCGUUCGUAGUCCGGAUCGCAGUCUGCAACUCGACUGCGUG
rnacentral:rRNA from 1 species